rnacentral:rRNA from 1 species
UAAUUCCGCUCCAAUAGCGUAUAUUAAAGUUGUUGCAGUUAAAAAGCUCGUAGUUGGAUUUCGGAAGGUCUUUAGUGGUCCGCCCCUUCGGGGAGCGGGUCACCGAUCAUCCUAUGUUCCUAACGGUCCUCAUCCGCGAGGGUGGGGAAUCAACCGCUAGGAUCGUUUACUUUGAGGAAAUUAGAGUGUUCAAAGCAGGCGUAACUCGCCUCCGAAUACGUUAGCAUGGGAUAAUGGAAUACGACUUCGGUCUUGUUUCGUUGGUUUCGCUUGGCUGAAGUAAUGAUUGAUAGGGACAGUUGGGGGCAUUAGUAUUUAGUUGUCAGAGGUGAAAUUCUAGGAUUUACUAAAGACUGACCAAUGCGAAAGCAUUUGCCAAGGAUGUUUUCAUUAAUCAAGAACGAAAGUAGGGGGAUCGAAGACGAUCAGAUACCGUCGUAGUCUCUACCGUAAACUAUGCCGACCAGGGAUCCGGAGAGUUUGCAUGGAUGACUCCCCGGGCACCUUGUGAGAAAUCAUAAGUGUUUGGGUUUUGGGGGGAGUAUGGUCGCAAGGCUGAAACUUAAAGGAAUUGACGGAAGGGCACCACCAGGAGUGGAACCUGCGGCUUAAUUUGACUCAACACGGGGAAACUUACGAGGUCAGGACACUGUGAGGAUUGACAGAUUGAAAGCUCUUUCUUGAUUCAGUGGGUGGUGGUGCAUGGCCGUUCUUAGUUGGUGGAGUGAUUUGUCUGGUUAAUUCCGUUACCGGACGAGACCUUAACCUGCUAAAUAGUCACGCGAACCGGUCCGCAAGGCUCAAGGUUCGCGGCUCG